AGAAAUUAAGAAACUGUUUCUUAACUUUUAACUAAAAAACUAAGAAUCGGUUCUUAAAAUCCUUAUUUAAGAACCGGUUCUUAGCUUUUUUAGUUAAAAGUUAAGAAAUAGUUUCUUAACUUCC
rnacentral:pre_miRNA from 1 species